UACAGAGGUCUCAACCGUUGUUCGGAUUCAUUGGGCGUAAAGGGUGCGUAGGCGGUCGCGCAAGUCGGAUGUGAAAUCUUGGGGCUCAACCCCCGAAACUGCAUUCGAUACUGCGUGGCUCGAGUACUGGAGAGGAGACUGGAAUUUACGGUGUAGCAGUGAAAUGCGUAGAUAUCGAUAAGGAAGACCAGUGGCGAAGGCGAGUCUCUGGACAGUUACUGACGCUGAGGCACGAAGGCCAGGGGAGCAAACGGG
rnacentral:rRNA from 1 species